UGAAACCGUUCAGGGGUAAACCUGAGAAACCCAAAAGAUCGAAUGGGGAGAUUCAUCGUCAACGGCUCUGGCUCCCGUUGGUGCGCGAUGCCCCGAAUGGGCCCUUGUGGUUCCACGGCGAGGGCACACCACCUUCGGCCUGAAUGUUCCGGUGCCGUAGUCGUGCACUUCUCCCCUAGUAGAACGUCGCGACCCGUUGUGUGUCGGUCUACGGCCCGAGAGGGCGCCUGUCGCGUCGCCUCCAGCGUAUGCGGCAGACCCUCGGUCGCCUGGCCGGCUGCACGACGGUACUCGCAUGGUAUCGGGCCGCAACCAAUCCAUUCUCGAAUGUGUGUGCGUCCGUCCCGCCGCAAGCUCGGUCAGUUCUUACCCGGAGGUACGGACCUUGUGCCGUCCCCGGGCCUGGCCAGCUGUUAGCAGGCGGAGGUCUUCGGACUGGCCAAACCUUAAAUUACCGGUCGGCGACGCUAUUGCUUUGGGUACUCUCAGGACCCGUCUUGAAACACGGACCAAGGAGUCUAACAUGUGCGCGAGUCAUUGGGAUUGAUUAAACCUAAAGGCGAAAUGAAAGUGAAAAUCGACCUUUGCGUCGAUCGAGGGAGGAUGGGCCGCGUUACUAUGCGGCCUCGCACUCCCGGGGCGUCUCGUUCUCAUUGCGAGGAGAGGCGCACCCAGAGCGUACACGUUGGGACCCGAAAGAUGGUGAACUAUGCCUGGUCAGGACGAAGUCAGGGGAAACCCUGAUGGAGGUCCGUAGCGAUUCUGACGUGCAAAUCGAUCGUCGGAACUGGGUAUAGGGGCGAAAGACUAAUCGAACCAUCUAGUAGCUGGUUCCCUCCGAAGUUUCCCUCAGGAUAGCUGGCACUCGAUCGUUCCUCUGUGAACGUGUGYUGAGUCUCAUCUGGUAAAGCGAAUGAUUAGAGGCCUUNGGGGCCGAAACGACCUCAACCUAUUCUCAAACUUUAAAUGGGUGAGAUCUCUGGCUUGCUUGGAUCAUGAAGCCACGAGAUUUUGGAUCAGAGUGCCAAGUGGGCCAAUUUUSGUAAGCAGAACKGGCGCUGUGGGAUGAACCAAACGCAGAGUUAAGGCGCCUAAGUGGACGCUUAUGGGAUAC
rnacentral:rRNA from 1 species